AGGGUUGGGGGUAGUGGGGAGGGCAGGCGAGGGGAAAGGAGGAGGACAUGGAGAUGAAGAAGAAGAUUAACAUGGAGUUGAAGAACAGAGCCCCGGAGGAGGUGACAGAGUUAGUCCUUGAUAAUUGCUUGUGUGUCAAUGGGGAGAUCGAAGGCCUGAAUGACACCUUUAAAGAACUGGAGUUUCUCAGUAUGGCCAACGUGGAGUUAAGUUCUUUGGCCCGGCUUCCCAGCUUAAACAAACUUCGGAAGGUGCGUUGGGAUUGGUGUGAGGACACUGUGGUCUUCCUGGCCAAGCUUACUGAGUUCUUGGUUAAGUGAGAUAAGCAUUUCACCUACCAGUUAGAAAUCUUUAACUUUCAGAGAUAAGAAAAGGGAGGACAGAGGCUGGAGCGAUGACUCAGUGACUGCUCUUCUGGAGGACCGGGGUUUAUUUCCCAGCACACAAUUCUUAGUCACAGCUCUGUGACUCCAGUUUCAGGGGAGCCAGCACCCUCACAAAGACAUACAGGCAAAAUAUCCCAAUGCACAUAAAAUUAAAACAAGUAAAUGAUUAUUUGCUGGGUGGUGACGUAUACCUUUGAUCCACCGUUUGGGAGGCAGAGGCAGGCGGAUCUCUUGAGUUUGAGGCUAGUUUCAAACAAGAUCAAGUUCCAGGAUGGCCAGGACUACAAAGAGAUCUUGUUUCAAAGAAAAGGGAAAAACAAAUUAAUGGG
rnacentral:lncRNA from 1 species